rnacentral:rRNA from 1 species
GUGGGGAAUAUUAGGCAAUGGGGGAAACCCUGACCUAGCAACGCCGCGUGAAGGAUGAAGGUUUUCGGAUUGUAAACUUCUUUGGCCCGGGACGAUAAUGACGGUACCGGGAGAACAAGCCACGGCUAACUACGUGCCAGCAGCCGCGGUAAUACGUAGGUGGCAAGCGUUGUCCGGAUUUACUGGGUGUAAAGGGCGAGUAGGCGGGGAUGCAAGUCAGAUGUGAAAUACCGAGGCUUAACCUCGGAACUGCAUUUGAAACUGCAUUUCUUGAGUGAUGGAGAGGCAGGCGGAAUUCCCGGUGUAGCGGUGAAAUGCAUAGAGAUCGGGAGGAACACCAGUGGCGAAGGCGGCCUGCUGGACAUUAACUGACGCUGAGGCGCGAAAGUGUGGGGAGCAAACAGGAUUAGAAACCCCAGUAGUCC